rnacentral:rRNA from 1 species
UGGGGAAUAUUGCACAAUGGGCGAAAGCCUGAUGCAGCAACGCCGCGUGAGGGACGACGGCCUUCGGGUUGUAAACCUCUUUUAGCAAGGAAGAAGCGAAAGUGACGGUACUUGCAGAAAAAGCGCCGGCUAACUACGUGCCAGCAGCCGCGGUAAUACGUAGGGCGCAAGCGUUAUCCGGAAUUAUUGGGCGUAAAGAGCUCGUAGGCGGUUUGUCGCGUCUGCUGUGAAAACCCGAGGCUCAACCUCGGGCCUGCAGUGGGUACGGGCAGACUAGAGUGCGGUAGGGGAGAUUGGAACUCCUGGUGUAGCGGUGGAAUGCGCAGAUAUCAGGAAGAACACCGAUGGCGAAGGCAGAUCUCUGGGCCGUAACUGACGCUGAGGAGCGAAAGGGUGGGGAGCAAACAGGCUUAGAUACCCUGGUAGUCCACCCGUAAACGUUGGGAACUAGUUGUGGGGUCCAUUCCACGGAUUCCGUGACGCAGCUAACGCAUUAAGUUCCCCGCCUGGGGAGUACGGCCGCAAGGCUAAAACU